CACAAAUAGCCGAUGUGAUUUUACAACUAAGAUGCUACACCAUCUCUGGGAGUACUGUGGACUCAGGGAGGCCCUGAGAAACUCAGAAUUCAUGACCAGUGGAACUCAAGACAUCUUGAAUGAGAAUAAUAUGAAUCACGGAAAGCUCCAUGCACUGUGGGGCCCCCUGUGAGUGCAGGGGAGGUGGCCCCCUCCUUCCUGGAGCAGCUGGGUGGAUUCUCACUGAGGCCAGCCGUCCAUCAACCUGACUUCUUCCGGCUUCCUCUGCACAACGGCUCCCUAGAGCCCCCGUGAGACACUCCAGGAACCAGCUGCCUGUCAGGCACCUUAUUAAACUCAUUUCCAGAUGUCUCCACCUCAGCCCGAGGAAGCAGGAGGAGAGUGAAGGGUGGGAGUUUGUCCCUUAAGUGAAAUCAGCUGGGUCCAUAAUAAAUAAUGUUUUGUAUUGAUGCAGCAGGUGCCAUGGAAGGUGGCAUGAUGCGGAAGACAUCCUCAGUGAGGCCAUGUGUGAGGAAGAGAGAGGCUAACAAACAGACCAGACCAUUUAGGCAAGGGAGGAGAGCUAGUUGGACAACUAGAGGUGGAAUUGGGGUGGGGAAGAUCUGCAAUUGUGAAUGUAUGAGAAAAACAGGAAGGAGAGAGAAAAGAAAGCUGAACGGGGAGAUGGGGACAGAGGCCAAGACAGAGUUGUUGUGCCUAAAAUUUUCCAUUGUGCUGGUCUGCCAGGGUCUGUGUCAUUCACAACAGCUUAUAAAAUCCACAGCUAACCUUGGGCCUUCCGGUGCACCAAGCCUGGUGCUUUAUAGACAGCAGCUCGUCAACAACUUCAGGAGGGAGCUACUGUGAUUUUACCAUUUACAGACAAAGAAAGCGAGGCUCAGACAAUUUAGAGAACUUGCUCAAAGUCACUCCAUGGAACUAGGGAAGUCUGGCACCCAUGCUUGUACCCUUAGCCAUCCUACUCUCCUUCAUGGUGGAAUUUGGAGAAACAAUCUUUCCAGGCAGAGAUCUUUUCACUGUUGAUUGGCACAUACUUGUGAGACUUAUCUGAACAUGAGUUCAGGCAGAGAGAUAGAGGAAGAAAUAGGAACACAUCCUUUCUUCCAAGCACUUAUUUUGAGUGGUAUUGUUGUGGGGAAUAUGAAAUAUGAUUUCUCAACUUGUUAACUGUAUGAUAUGCUGAGUUUUUGUUUUUUAGAAACCAAAGAAUGAGUCUUAGGAACAACGGAGGUUAAAAGUAGGAAGAUAUUUAUGGAUAGGAAAGCUUCUGAGGGUCAGGAGGAGUCCUGAGUGGGUAACCAAGGGCCCCACUUUAUAGAGAAGUUUUAUAGGGUGAAACCCAUGUGGGUAUCAUGUGGGCCACAGCCAUGAACAUCCAAUAAGGUUACAAGUAUAGUCACUUAGAUAAUGGCGGUCCAAUUGGAAAGCAAGUCACAUAACAAGUGUGGAUGGAAAGAACAAGGAUUUUCCUAGGAGGUGGUGGGUCCAGAGCUCUCUGGUCACCCCCGGGGUGGUUGAUGCCUGUGUAGACUUCACUAAGCCCAGUUCUUUGAAGAAGUAGGUGGGUCUGGUCAUCUUGUCUCCAUCUUGAGGCCUGGUUUUUAGCCGAUGUGCAGCUGUGGUGUGUUUUACCUUUGUCCUGGCCCUCUCCAGGACUUAGCCCUAUCUGACUGCCUAUAAUAUUUCAGCCCAGCUUAUCUAUCUAUAAUAGUAUCACUGGCCAGUUGGAUGGGCUUGUUUUUCUCUAGCUCAUGACUGAAUGGACUACUGUGGGUGCCUCUUUUUGGCUCAGUCAUUAAAAGGAACAUUUUUACCUACAUGAGAACCACAGGUAUAUUAGUUGCCUGGGGCUGCCAUAACAAAUUAUCUCUGAAUUAGCAAAAAGUGAUAGUUAUUCUCUCACAGCUUUGGAGGCCAGAAGUCUGAAUUUGAAGUGUUGACAGGACCGAGCUUCUCUGAAGGCUCUAGGGAAGAAUCUUCCCUUAUCCUUUCCUAGCUUUUUGUGGCUUCUGACAAUUCUUGGUGCCUUUUGGCUUGGAGGAACAGCAUUCCAGCCUCUGCUUUUGUGAUCACAAGGACUUCCUCCUUCUGUCUCCUCUCUGACUCUGCAUCUACAUCUUCCUCUCCUUUUUCUUAUGAAGUCAUCAGUCAUGGGAUUACAGGUGACUCUAAUCCAGAAUUACAUUAUUUGAUAUUAAUUACAUCUGCAAAUAUCCCGUUUUCAAAAAAAGUUAUAUUCACAAGCACUAGGGGUUAAGAUUUGAAGAUAAUUUUGGGGGUAAGAUACAAUACAACCCACUACAAUGGGAAUAUAUAAAAAGUUGGGAUGAUAAAAAAGGGCAAAACCAAAUUCCAAAGGACCAGUGUGUGGCAUAUUAGUAUUCAGGCAUUCCACUCAAGAAAUGGAAUUUUAACCUAAGAUUUAUACCUUCUCCUUAAUCCUUGGUCUCCUCACUUACUCAUGUGUUGCUAUCUGUCCCCCUCCACCUCCCAGACACCAUCCCUAAGAUUUUAGAAUACCACCAAGUUUUGGAGUUGGAAUGCUUCUCAUAUUAUUUGAAAUUCCCAAAAGGACAGAUAUUGGGGGCAAAUACUUUUGUUUUACCCAGAGAGGCAGAACUGACUCUUGUCCUUUAUCCAGGCUUCAUUUCUUAGAUUAGAGCUAUCUAUCUAGCCGGUGUGAGAAUUGUAGUAAAG
rnacentral:lncRNA from 1 species